UGGUGGGCGGGCCUUGUGACGUAACACUGGGCUCCUACCGACUCUCGGAGGAUCCUUCGCAAGGAUCACCAGCUUCCAGAGAUGGUUGCGGCGGGUGAUAGAAACCGCGGGGAACGCCACACUGCGGGUGAGGGGGAACUACCGUACUGCUGCCGCUGAAUGUCCAACGCAGCUCAGAAGUAUCUGUGUUUCAUCCUCAUAGGUAUAGAUACCUAUUUCAGGUGUGGGCGUGCCUUUCCUGCCCAGAGAGCGUCAGCCAGCACCACUAUCUGCAGGCUUAUGGAACACCCCAUCCGCAGGCCUGGCACCCCAUACAACACCGCGUCUGAGGGCUGCUUCACCAACUUGUUGCUUCCCUGUGAUACCUGGACGUAGCCCCUUACCCGGAGGGCAAGGAAAGACUCAAGAAAUAGGCUGGCCACUCCAGAUUGGUUAUAGGAAAGGUGGAACCUCCAUUCAAUGUCAUGCUCUUUUGCCCAGGUUUGUACAUCAUGGCAUUUGACAUGUGACCCCUGAUCACUGUUUAUUUGAUGAAGGUAUCUACCUGGUACUCAGUUUCUCUAAUCCCCUAAUGGUGGGAGUGUGGUUUGUGCAGUGACAGAGGACAGCUUGGUUAGUCCAGACAUCGUGUCUACACAAACUGAGACAUAUUUAGGAUUCUCAUUUGGCGGGAGGGGGCCAACAUAAUCAACUUGCCAAUCCCUCAUUGGUUGGGAACUCCAGUGAAUGGCCCCAGGGUCCUUUGGCAGUUGCCUUGGGCAUUGUUUAGCACAUAUAAGACAUGUUAUUGCAUUAAUCACUGUAUUUCAAGGGCAAUUUGGCAUCGUUGGCAAUAUGCCAUCCCACCUGGAUAGGCAGUAAGUGACAUCUACUGAAGGGUCAGUACUAGGGCUUGUACAGAGUGAUGGCCUCAACCUCCUCAUUGCCAGGAGGUGUCAGUGCCUUAUGAGCUGGGAUGCGGAAGAUAGUGAGGAAUGUCUCAGGCUGAACCCAAAUGUCUUUCCGUAUAUCCCCACGUCACAAGGGCUUAUGCAUGAUCAGCUACCUCUCAGCCUCCCACAGAUUCAACCCAUGACAUUAAUCCCCCUCUAGAAUUGUCCAGCUAUCAGUACAAAGGGUUAAUGGCCAGGGCUCUGAGUGAUCACCAGACAAAUUGCUCUGAGCUUACUGGUUUGCCGUAGUUCUUGCCUGUUACGAAGAGAACAGAUUCUUAUUGAACUUAUGCAAGUAACUAUGUGGACAUGAAAAUAAGAAUAUUCACUAAGAUUUCCAAAUUCUGGAGGGACCAGGUAGGGAGGAAAAGAUAAAUGUUUCAUCUUUGUUCAUAAAGGUAUAUGUUGGCAAAUUGCUGAUAGCUCAAGAAAAAAGAAACAGAAAAGGUUUCCUGAAAUCUGGAAAAUCAAAACAUAAAAAAAAAACCUAUAAUGUUUCCAAUAAAAAGUCAUAAAAAUUACA